UACCAAACUAUAUGUUAACACAACAAUCUGACACGAAUGAGAAGAUGAGAACCGUGCCUAUUGACUAGCACAUUGAGGUAUUGGUGUUCUUUUGGUCCAGACUCCAGAUCAUCAUAGAAAAGAAUGGCAGUUGCAGCAAAUGAUUCGAUUUGGAACAAAUAAUCUAAAGACUCAUGAGCUAACACACACGAGCAAGAAAGUGAAAAGAAAAGCAACUGGAUUCCUACUAGAGGUAUUGCAUAUCUUCAGUUUUUGCAUGCCCCUCCACACCGUGUGGUCUUAAUCCUAGGAAGAAAUGUAGUAUAUAUCUUGCUGAAAAAAGGUUAUUCAACAAGGAUUUGAAAUUAUUUCACUCAUUGGGUAACCAAGAUAUUGAUCUUAUCUUGCAUUUUCAAGAGCUACCUCAAAUUUUGGUUAGCAAACCACAAGACAUUAUGUGUA